rnacentral:lncRNA from 1 species
AAUUUUUAAAUUUGUUUGAUUGGUGACUGUUAAUUAAUUAUUGGAAAUUAUUUAUUAACAUAUAAAAUAGUGACAUAUUUAGUACUUAUUUGUCAAAAUAAGAACUGUAAAAACAAGUAUUAGUGAUUUAUUUUCAAUAUUUAGAAAUUAUCUGUCAAGAAUAUAGAUUAAUAAAGAUUAUUGAUGUUUAUUUUAUAAAUAAAAUAGAUAAAAAAAAGAAGGAAAGAAGAAGAAAAGGAAAACAUUCUUUCUUGCUCUUCUCUCUUGUUGCCGACCCUGUCUCUCUCUUCUUCCCCUGUUUUCAGUCACCAUUCAGCGAGAACAAGGCAACGAUCAUUCCCUUUCUUGACGCUGGACACGAUUCCAACCUUUUCUCACACCGAUUGGACCUCCAGUAGCACGAUCGAGACCUUCCUUCUUUUCUUAAUGAACUAGAAGCGAUUACAGCGAUUUCAUGCAGUUACCGAUAGUUCCAGUGGGAAGGACAGACAUUGAUCGACUCCCCAUCACCUCUUGAUCCUUUCCCCUCUCUUAAUUCCGGCAACGGGUCCUUGAUAAUGAGAACGCCAUAGAUUGCAGCGGCUGUCGAGCUUGAUUCUGACCAACCAGCUCUCCAAAUGCACAAACGGAGCAUAGAUUUGUGAUCCUUGUGAAUUUUCGAGUUUGGGCAUGUAAGAAUCGCUCAAAUCCGACCAAGGCUGAUUUUUCGACCAUUGUAGAUGGCGACACUAGCAGCGAUCUAGUGACUGGCCGAUGAAUCCCUGGCAAGACCCUGGGAGAUAGAAUGAUCGUCUCUUCACACCGAACCCGAACCCAAAUCUGAAUUCCAAAUUGUGAUCGGCAUAAUUUAGGAUUUAGCUUGUUAAUUUCAGCGUAAAUUGCAAAGUUAGAAAUUAUUGUUGUUGCAUUAAAUUAGUUUUUAUUACAAAGAUUAAGUUAAUCAUGUGGAAUUGAUAGUACGAUUAAUUAUCAACGAAAUUUGCAAAUUAUAAGAAUUAGCAAUUAAAGAUAAUAAGAAUUUGUUAACUGUGCGAAUUUGAAAUUAAGAUAGUUUGAGUUUAUUAAUGAGUUAAAUCAAAAGUAGAAUAAAUAUUGAUAUUGGAA